rnacentral:rRNA from 1 species
UACGAAGGGGGCUAGCGUUGCUCGGAAUCAUUGGGCGUAAAGGGCGCGUAGGUGGCGCGGUAAGCGUGCGGUGAAAGCCUGGGGCUCAACCCCGGGUCGGCCGUGCGAACUGCUGGGCUUGAGCACUGUAGAGGCAGGCGGAAUUCCGGGUGUAGCGGUGGAAUGCGUAGAGAUCCGGAAGAACACCGGUGGCGAAGGCGGCCUGCUGGGCAGUUGCUGACACUGAGGCGCGACAGCGUGGGGAGCAAACAGG